AUACGGAGGGUGCAAGCGUUAUUCGGAAUCACUGGGCGUAAAGGACGCGUAGGCGGGUUGGCAAGUCAGAUGUGAAAUCCUACAGCUUAACUGUAGAACUGCAUUUGAAACUGCUAACCUAGAGUAUGGGAGGGGGAGAUGGAAUUAGUGGUGUAGGGGUAAAAUCCGUAGAUAUCACUAGGAAUACCAAAAGCGAAGGCGAUCUCCUGGAACAUAACUGACGCUAAGGCGUGAAAGCGUGGGGAGCAAACAGGAUUAGAUACCCGAGUAGUCC
rnacentral:rRNA from 1 species